UAUCCUUCUUAUAUCACUGUGUUACCUAAGGGUACUCCUGAAAUUAUACCAGCAACCAAAAGAGAUUGUUGUUUGCUAGGCAGAUGAGAGGACAGAGACUGGUUCUAUCUUUGAAAUCAGUGUGAGGACUUCCAAAACUACCUCAACCCCUGUUUAAUGCAUUCAUAGAUUUUAUUGGGAGUUUAGUAAAGCAUCUCCCCUCUAACAGAUACAUUGUGUUAUAUGGCAUGGAUUAAGUUGCAAGUAGGAUUUUUCAAUACAGUGUGACAAGAUUAAUGUUCUUUCUCUCCAUCUUUCCUAUCCUUAAUUUUCCCUUUCUUUCUCUAAAUAUGGUUCUGGCCCUGGUAUGGUCCAUUCCCCCUCCUUCUUCUCCCCCCCUGCCUAGAGAACUUCUCAUGCUUCCUUUAGCAUCCACCACCCAGCCAUUGAAAGAUUCUAAAUAAUACAAAUAGGAAUAAAUCUAUCUAUUCUGAAGAUAUCCAUUCCACUGAGGAAAGCUAGGAGCAAGUAUUCUCUUUCUCUUUAAAUUUACUCAGGGUAAACUUGCCUAUACCUGGGUGAUAUCCUGCUAAUUUUGACUUACUGUCACUACUGAAGCAGUAUUUAUUCUCUACCAAUUGGAACUGUACCAACAUCCUGUAGGGUUUUUGUUCCCCCUCUUCAACAACAGAAUCUCCAUCUGCUUUAGUGGACCCGGAGCAAAGCACUGUGGACUUUUUUGAGGAUUAGAGAAAGAAAAAAAUAAGUCCUUAUCAAAAUUAAACAAGAAGAAUUUCCAGGCUUGAAAUUAACUUUGAUGUUCUCAGAGACUCAGUCUUUUAUUCAAAGUCUAUGUUGAGGAGAAAAAGUUUUAUCCGUUCUAUCCUCAUAUAAAUAAGGAUUAUCAGAACACUGCUUUUCUUAUCCCAUUCCUAGUUUAAUUGCUCCAUAAAGUUAUGGUGGCACAGGUGAAGCUAGGCAACACUGAACAGCAUGAAGCGCUAAUUGCACUAAAUUUGGAAAUCUUCAGGUUCCAUUUAUCUUUAACAACUUUCUGGCCAAGCAGACACCAUAAGAUCAACUCAUUAUGACAGUACACUCAGUUUUUAAAUUGAAUUUAAAUUAAAUCAAUUAUACUUUGAUUAACAAUUAAACCUAUUUUUCUUAUUUUUUUAUGUCCAAACAAAAUUUCUUUCACUAUUUAUCAGAAGGCCUCUUCAUUUAUUUUAUUUAUUGUGCUAUUUUGGAAGCUGUCACUAGAGUCCAUGAAAUCUUAAUCAUGAGCCCUCUAAUUUCCUAAUGGGGUAGAAGGAAUACAUUGAUUUAUUGAUCUGUAUUUAAAAAAAAAAAAAAAAAACCUAAAACCUAGAAGAUCAAUCUGACAUUUUAGGUUAAUUUUAGGAAACAAAGAAUAGUCAUAAUUAAAUGAGAUAAGGAUUUUAGUUGUUCAUUCCAGUUUAUAAUAAUAAAAAAAAGCCCCUUACCCAAAGUGUCUUAGAAAAUAAUGCAUUCAGACUGAGUAGAAUUACUGCCUAGCAGAUUCUAUUUAUCUGUAGCUUAAAAAGCAGCUGCGUUUUUGUAAAAAGCAAUGAAUGUGGCAUUCCUACUUAAAGGUGGAAGAAAAAAAAACACUCCUUGUUUUGUAAUAAGGGGAUUUUCAAUUUAAAAGAGAGAGCAGGCCUGUUGUGUGAAGUAUGGUUAUUACAUUCACUGUAUUCUAUCUCACCCACCAGGAGGCUAAUAAUGAGGAGUGAGGGAAGGGGGCCACGGCCACGAGGGUUAUCUCACAGUCCCAGAUGCUGGAUAAGUUGGAGGAGGCAGAAUCACUUUUGGAUGACAUUCAGAAAGGCCUGAAUGCUUAUUGGGAGAAGAAAAGACUAUUCUUUACAAGGUGUGGGGCAUCUCUUCCCUUGCCUGAACGGUGAUGAUCACAGUCUGCCAGCAUCUCAUGAGACAAAGGAAUCGCUCCUGAGCCCCGCCACACCUUAAAAAAUGCUUUGAAGGGCUUGCCAAGCUCACUUUUAAUCAUGGGAAAGAAAUUACCCACAUGGAGUCAGCAGAAAAUGAAAAAGUGGGCCUCGUGCUGAGAUAAUUCUAGCAAGUGCCAAGGGGCUAGUUGAGAUAUGGCUUCAUGAGGUGAAUAUCUUUAGCUCUUACUUAGGGUUUAGUUACUGUAUAAUCAUUCUCUCUUUUAGGAGCAAUGAAUAUCCCAAGUGUGUUUCCUAACCAAAGCUGUCUUUCUCCAAGCGUUUGUCGGGAUAUUGAUGGAUUCCGUAGGAAAUGGGGGUUCUGGGUCCUGCUUGUUAUUUCCUUCUACUCAGGACAAGUUUGCAACUCUGCAGAAAUCUCAUUCAGUGACAAGACCAAGCCAGUGACUGCCACUAGCUGUGUGUAUUUGUGCAUCUCUCUGUUUGAGUAUCUGUCUAGUACUUUAUGUCUCUGUGUAUAUCUGUAUCUUUGUUCUUGUCCUUGGCCCCUCCUUAGGAGACUAUCUGGGGAGGAUUGAAGAGCAGGUGGUUUUCAGAUGUAACCUCGGGAGGAGCACUGGUUGGGGAAGGGCCAAAGGUGGGAUUUGAUUGGGGGUGGAGGGAAAGAGAAAAGGUGUCACCUUGAUAAUUAAUGAUCAAUCUUAAUUUCCAAUCCGUAUUAAAAAGGGGGGAUAUCCCCUGAGGACACUAACCUAACCCCAUCUUCCCUUUGGGGGACCACAAUUCCAAUUAAACAUCAGUUUCAGUGUGAAA